rnacentral:rRNA from 1 species
CCUACGGGAGGCAGCAGUGAGGAAUAUUGGUCAAUGGGCGGGAGCCUGAACCAGCCAAGUCGCGUGAGGGAAGACGGUCCUAUGGAUUGUAAACCUCUUUUGCCGGGGAGCAAGGGCGGGGACGUGUCCCGGCCCGGAGAGUACCCGGAGAAAAAGCAUCGGCUAACUCCGUGCCAGCAGCCGCGGUAAUACGGAGGAUGCGAGCGUUAUCCGGAUUUAUUGGGUUUAAAGGGUGCGCAGGCGGGCUUUUAAGUCAGCGGUAAAAAUUCGGGGCUCAACCCCGUCCGGCCGUUGAAACUGGGAGCCUUGAGUGUGCGAGAGGAAGGCGGAAUGCGUGGUGUAGCGGUGAAAUGCAUAGAUAUCACGCAGAACCCCGAUUGCGAAGGCAGCCUUCCGGCGCCCUACUGACGCUGAGGCACGAAAGUGCGGGGAUCGAACAGGAUUAGAUACCCCGGUAGUC